rnacentral:rRNA from 1 species
UACGUAGGGGGCAAGCGUUGUCCGGAUUUACUGGGUGUAAAGGGUGCGUAGGCGGGUAUUUAAGUCAGAUGUGAAAUCCACGGGCUCAACCUGUGGUCUGCAUUUGAAGCUGGAUAUCUUGAGUGCAGGAGAGGAAAGUGGAAUUCCUAGUGUAGCGGUGAAAUGCGUAGAUAUUAGGAGGAACACCAGUGGCGAAGGCGACUUUCUGGACUGUAACUGACGCUGAGGCACGAAAGUGUGGGGAGCAAACAGG